AAACUUACUUGACAGUGGAGAUACCAUGAUCAAAUAGCUGGUUUUCCCAGGGUGAGACUUUAUCCAUUUCACCCCUGAUAUGAAGACUUCUGUGAUUUCCCCAAGAAUGGAAACUAGACUACAUAAUGUGUUGUAAUAAGAGACUGUGUUUCUGCUGUUCCCUC